UACAGAGGGGGCAAGCGUUGUUCGGAAUUACUGGGCGUAAAGGGCGCGUAGGCGGCCCGCUAAGUCGAACGUGAAAUCCCCGAGCUCAACUCGGGAACUGCGUCCGAUACUGGUGGGCUUGAAUCCGGGAGAGGGAUGCAGAAUUCCAGGUGUAGCGGUGAAAUGCGUAGAUAUCUGGAGGAAUACCGGUGGCGAAGGCGGCAUCCUGGACCGGCAUUGACGCUGAGGAGCGAAAGCUAGGGGAGCAAACGGG
rnacentral:rRNA from 1 species